ACUAAAGUUACCUUUUCAAAUUAUUUUGCACAUUUAUUAUUUAUACUUUUGUACCGCAGUAUUCUCUAUAUUUUAUUUUAUUGUUCAUUUUCUCUUUUCUCGAUUUUUUUGUUGCUAUUAUAUGUAUUCUCUAUUCUGUAAACCCUAUUCUGACCCUCAUAGGUAAACUUCUAUUGUAUGAAUGGGAUAAACUGACCUUUCAAUUCUCAAGGCUAAAUAAGUAUUUCAUAGGUUAAAUACAAACUUACCUGUCAAGGUAGAAAUGUAAUCUGAGUGGUACCGGUCUUAUUCAAGUCACCAUAAACCUUAUACUUAAU
rnacentral:lncRNA from 1 species